rnacentral:misc_RNA from 1 species
UGAGUUUGGAUAAUACAACAACAUUGCCACGUGUGUAAUCCCACAAAAGUGAGGACUGGGGACGUUAAGAUGUACGCAAACCUUUCCCCUACUGUGGGUAGAGAGGUUGUUUGACUUGUUUUUGAUAGACCCUCAGUGAGUACUAUGAACCAUGUAUUCAGUAAUAGAGAAGACUUGCUCAAAGUAUACUUUUAGGACGGCAUAUGGAAAAUAAAACAAAGAGAAGACUUACGAAGAACAGAUGCUAAGGCCCACUCCAGCUUCUAAAUUUGCAAAUUCCACGGCGUUUUUCAGCAAAAGAAUCACGUAUUGACUGAACCAUGGAAUUGACAGCUGGAAAUAGACUCAGGUCUUCGUGAUGCUCCACUUGGGAUAGUCGAUCUUCAAUAUUCCCGGAGCUCGUAUCAGUGGGCAUAAAUAUCUUUCUAUAAGCUGCUCUCAGGCUCUUAAUCUCCAUAGCAGAGAAUCCAUGACGUCUUAAGCCUUCAAGAUUCAAACCACGAAGCUCAGCUCUUUCCCCUGAGACAAUAAUGUACUUUGGAACAUCUUGAGAAACCACUGAACCACCACCAAUGAAAGAAUACGAACCAAUACGGCAAAAUUGAUGAACUACAA